rnacentral:rRNA from 1 species
GAUGAACGCUGGCGGCGUGCCUAAUACAUGCAAGUCGAGCGAACGGACGAGAAGCUUGCUUCUCUGAUGUUAGCGGCGGACGGGUGAGUAACACGUGGAUAACCUACCUAUAAGACUGGGAUAGCUUCGGGAAACCGGAGCUAAUACCGGAUAAUAUUUUGAACCGCAUGGUUCAAAAGUGAAAGACGGUCUUGCUGUCACUUAUAGAUGGAUCCGCGCUGCAUUAGCUAGUUGGUAAGGUAACGGCUUACCAAGGCAACGAUGCAUAGCCGACCUGAGGGGGUGAUCGGCCACACUGGAACUGAGACACGGUCCAGACUCCUACGGGAGGCAGCAGUAGGGAAUCUUCCGCAAUGGGCGAAAGCCUGACGGAGCAACGCCGCGUGAGUGAUGAAGGUCUUCGGAUCGUAAACCUCUGUUAUUAGGGAAGAACAUAUGUGUAAGUAACUGUGCACAUCUUGACGGUACCUAAUCAGAAAGCCACGGCUAACUACGUG